rnacentral:rRNA from 1 species
CCUACGGGAGGCUGCAGUGGGGAAUAUUGGACAAUGGGGGGAACCCUGAUCCAGCCAUGCCGCGUGUGUGAAGAAGGCCCUCGGGUUGUAAAGCACUUUCAGUGAGGAAGAACGCCUGGUGGUUAAUACCCAUCAGGAAAGACAUCACUCACAGAAGAAGCACCGGCUAACUCCGUGCCAGCAGCCGCGGUAAUACGGAGGGUGCGAGCGUUAAUCGGAAUUACUGGGCGUAAAGCGCGCGUAGGUGGAUUGAUAAGCCGGUUGUGAAAGCCCCGGGCUCAACCUGGGAACGGCAUCCGGAACUGUCAAGCUAGAGUGCAGGAGAGGAAGGUAGAAUUCCCGGUGUAGCGGUGAAAUGCGUAGAGAUCGGGAGGAAUACCAGUGGCGAAGGCGGCCUUCUGGACUGACACUGACACUGAGGUGCGAAAGCGUGGGUAGCAAACAGGAUUAGAUACCCUAGUAGUC